GGCUAUAGCUCAGCAGCAGGGCACAUGCCUUGCAUGCAGAGGGUCCCAGGUUCGAAACCCGGCAUCUCCA